GUCGAGGGGAAACGACAUCGAAAGCUUGCUUUUGAUGGGCGUCGACCGGCGCACGGGUGAGUAACGCGUAUCCAACCUGCCCACCACUUGGGGAUAACCUUGCGAAAGUAAGACUAAUACCCAAUGACGUCUCUAGAAGACAUCUGAAAGAGAUUAAAGAUUUAUCGGUGAUGGAUGGGGAUGCGUCUGAUUAGCUUGUUGGCGGGGUAACGGCCCACCAAGGCAACGAUCAGUAGGGGUUCUGAGAGGAAGGUCCCCCACAUUGGAACUGAGACACGGUCCAAACUCCUACGGGAGGCAGCAGUGAGGAAUAUUGGUCAAUGGACGAGAGUCUGAACCAGCCAAGUAGCGUGCAGGAUGACGGCCCUAUGGGUUGUAAACUGCUUUUAUAAGGAAAUAAAGUGAGUCUCGUGAGACUUUUUGCAUGUACCUUAUGAAUAAGGACCGGCUAAUUCCGUGCCAGCAGCCGCGGUAAUACGGAAGGUCCGGGCGUUAUCCGGAUUUAUUGGGUUUAAAGGGAGCGUAGGCCGGAGAUUAAGCGUGUUGUGAAAUGUAGACGCUCAACGUCUGCACUGCAGCGCGAACUGGUUUCCUUGAGUACGCACAAAGUGGGCGGAAUUCGUGGUGUAGCGGUGAAAUGCUUAGAUAUCACGAAGAACUCCGAUUGCGAAGGCAGCUCACUGGAGCGCAACUGACGCUGAAGCUCGAAAGUGCGGGUAUCGAACAGGAUUAGAUACCCUGGUAGUCCGCACGGUAAACGAUGGAUGCCCGCUGUUGGUCUGAAUAGGUCAGCGGCCAAGCGAAAGCAUUAAGCAUCCCACCUGGGGAGUACGCCGGCAACGGUGCAACUCAAAGGAAUUGACGGA
rnacentral:rRNA from 2 species